AGUUUUAAACUCAGGCGGUCCUCAGGGGGACCUAAAAGGACACGCAGUUAAUGUCAGUGCGCUGGUGGUUGGAGACUGGGAGUCCCUCAGGGAGCUUGCUGGAUGCGGCACAUGGAGCGUGGGACUGAAGAUAUUGAGACAUCUCAGAGAAACAACUGUGUUCAAGUAGUGAGCAUGAGGGAGUCUCACCAGAUACCUUGCAUCUUAGCCAGUGCCCAGACCUAAUAAGACUCUUGCAUUCCCAAGUCCCAGAAGAUACUAACCAAUCAAAAAUCAGGGCUUUGAUGUUUGCUGUGACAUAGGAAAAACUGGUCUUGUGGAAAGGUAACCAUUAAACACCAGAGCAAGAAAAAAAAUGGUUACAAACACAGCACAUAAAGUCCAUGGACAUGUAUUGUCUCAUCUCUAUCUUACUAAAAUACAAAAGGAACAAGUCAGACUUCUACGCAUAUUUCCUUCGGUUCUGACUUCAUUGCCCUUUUCCUAGGUUCCAAACCAACAGGUGUCACCCAACUGCUCCCAGAGAUCCUCCUAGAGUAUCAUUCUCUACCUGCAGAUCUGCCUCAUUGCAGCUGCCCUCAUGGAUGGUGUCCAUUGGCCAAUCAUUAAGAGACAAAAACUCUGCAAGAAGUUAUUCCAGAGAGCAACUCGCCCAGCCUCCUACUGCAGGUCUUGGCCCUCCGUGGCUCCCACAUCCAGCUUGCCAGGCUCUACGGUAGUGGAUUCUGAUGUUGCAGCAGCCACGGCCUCAUAAAUAUCAGAUUCAUAACUGGAUGCUGCCUUCCCCCUGGGCCAGCCACAGUCGGAGCUGACU
rnacentral:lncRNA from 1 species